AUGACGGUGGUGCCGUGCCUUGACUCUGGGCUGCUUCCUGGACGUUCCAGGCUGUGCUCCCACUUUGGGAGCAGGACACGCUCAGGCCAGAGGCAAAGACCGUGCGAUCCACUUUCUCCCUCUGCUUCAAGGACAGGAAGCUGUGCCCCGGCAGCAUCAGGACACUUGUCUCUGGGCGAGAGAGAGCAUCAGACAUGGGACUCAGAACCAGGUCUCCAGAUUCUCCACCGUUCAUCUGGGCCGGGAAGAGAAAGAGAAAUCGAAGCCCCCAGCCCUUUGUCACACCAUGUCGCACCCAGGCCACGGCCACAGCCGCAGCACACCUACAUCUGGUCUCCUUCACACUCCUUUUGUGAGCCCACUGAGCGCUGUUCCCGGCCGUCAACUGAUGCUCGCACGCAAGUGUCUGGCUAGAGCUGCAUGCGAUGUUUGUUUAAAAGCUAGGACAGCACGUGAGAAGCAGACCCUGCUCGGCGUGGCUCCCUUCACACAAGUCAGCCACACGUUCUCCCUGCUAGUCGAUGCCUGCUUGGUUCUGGAGACCGAGGGCUUUCGGUGUGAAUGUCAGGUGAGCGCUGCCCCGGGACGGUCCUGGGGGACAGCUGCUGACCUGCCUCUGAAAGUCAGGCCAGGUCCCUCAGGGCUGGCAUGGAUACAAGAAGUGGCAAUCCUGAGGCAGGUGGAUUCUUGAGUUGGAUUAGGAUGGGCACGGAGUUGCAGAGCCCAGUCUAAGCUGGAACAUCCUCUUCUGGCUUCAAAACCUUAUGUGUGGAAAGUCUUGGUCAUGAUUGGGUGACCCAGGCUGCUGGAAAUGCCGCAUCAUUUUUCUAGUAACUGUGUUCUCUCUGUAGGACGGUCACUCUGAGGGUAGGGGUUUCUGGGAGGGGGCAUGUAAAGUCUCUGUGGUAUAAAGAAGCCUUUCUUCUGACGUGCAACUCGGAAAAUGAUCCCCCGUUGGGGAACGCCAUGACACUUCAUGUGUAACAUAUACAAACGUCCCCUGGCAACUGUAGUCUGGGGAACCCGAUAUGGCCUGAGCCCUAGGUGUGCAGAGAGAUGGUAAGACUAGCAAUAUGUUGACCUCUUUCCAAGCCUCCUCCAGUUAAGAAAGGACUUAGGGACAAAAAUGAAAUAAUAAAGUUGGAAUCGUUGAAUACCA
rnacentral:lncRNA from 1 species